GCUGUGGAGAUCUGCUCAAGCGCUCGGCCUACAAAUACUUCGCAGGAACGAUUCAAUACGCUCCACCUGAGUGGUUCUGCAGACAGCGCUACCAUGCGGGUCCAGCUACGGUGUGGUCAGUAGGAGUGACCCUCUUCAACAUCCUGUGCAACCGUUUCCCCUUCGGAGGCUCACUGAGGGUCACGUCCAGGAGCAAACUGACCUUCCCCAUAACUCUGUCAACAGAGGCAGUAGACGCAGAUGGAGAAGAGGAGAACACACACCGAACACACACUGAACAGCAGAUUCCAGCAGAAAACACACUCUGAUGCAGGUGAUGUGGAGGUGCUGUUAAACCGUUCAGCACAAGGAGACUCUUGCUCUAAAAUGAACAACAGGCCAUUAUUAAAGUGAAUAUAUAUUUAGUUAUUAUAUUCAUUUUAUUUUAUCUUUACUGAUUACACACAAUAAUGAAAAAUAUGAGUUUAACACGGAUGAAUUUGCUAAAAGUGGUUGGAAAAUCAGAAGUUAAAGAUUCUAAUAUUAAAUACACUAUAAAUCAUCGUUUUACAAAAUAUAAUGAAUUUGCUGUUAAUUUAAUUUAAAGUAUUAUUAGAAACUAAGAUACACUUUAAAAACUAAUUAUAAACACUUAUUUUACUAAUAUACUUUAUUAAAUAUACAUUAUUUCUGUAUUUGAAGUCGGACUAUGGCUGCAGGAUUGUGUUGCUUAAUUAUUUGCAGGACUUUGCAUUAAUUAUCGAUAAAAUUCAUUCAAAUAAUAUUAAAAUAAUAAAACUUUAGGUAAACAUGUAAACUUAUCAUUAAAGCACAGCUAUAUUAUGAAGAGAUAAACUAUAAUUGACACUAAUAUUAGCUGUAAUCCAUAAUCAUCAAAAUGAACUGAAAUAAACACUUGAAAUAAAUUAUUCUGAGUGUAAUGAAUGAUUAAAUAAUUCCCCAGCACGGUUUAAUUGAGAAAAUAUCUUUUGCAACACAUUUUUAAACAUAAUAUGUUAAAUAAAUAAUCUCUAAUAACUCAUGACACAAUAUUUUAAUAGUUAUUUUACAAGACACUAGUAUUCAGCCUAAAGUGCAGUUUAAAGGCUUAACUGGGUUAAUUAGGUUAACUAAAGUUAGUUUAAUUUAGGCAAAUCAUAGGACAACAGUGUUUGGUUCUGUAGCCAAAAAAAAAAAAAAAAAAAAAAAAAUCUUACAGGGCUAAUAAUAAUGUGCUUAAUUUUUUGUUUGUUUUUAUCAAAAACUGUUUUCACUUCAGCCAAACUGAAAAAUAAACUUCACUGAUCUGAUAAGAUCUCUUAGAUCAUUGUCACAAAGCACAGAUUUUCCAUUAGGCUUUCUUUAGUCUUGUGUAUUGAUUAAUGUGCGCGAGGGCAACUAUUGGUUUAAUGAGGGAGUUUUCUGAGAGAUGAAGAGCUGUAAAGUGAGUGUUCAAUUACAAAAAGAAAUGAUUAUACAAACUCAGUGUUUCCUUUUAUUAACAUUGACAAAACCGUAUUACUUUAAAAGAAAUAUGAUUAUCAAAGCAUGUCUUAGAGCGAAUAAGCCCAACAGGAUUUUUAUGUAAUCGCCUUUUUUCUUAAUUUAUAUAUAAAAUAAAUGUUUAAUUAGUAAUCACUACUGAUGGGUUAGAUUUUCAAUAUUCAAUAUUGUUCAGUAAUUAUUCAGCAGUAAUUAAACAUCUCUGUAGCAUUUCCUCCUGCAGAUGUGGUUCAGUCAGUUCAGCACUGCAGGGAGCUGUCCAUUGUGCUGAAUUUACUCCACACUAAACUCUCUUCUCACAUUAAAUUCAUUAUAAGUGUCUGAUCAGUGAA